UAGAUUUCAAAAAUAUUGGGGAUGAUGAAAGAUUUGAAGCCCUAAGAGUUCCAAGAUUGCACGUUUCUCUUUGCAAAAUUUUGAGGCAAGAAGUAAAAAAGUAUCAAGAUAAGUAGGAUCGCAGUUUAUAUUUAAAAUCUGAACAACCACAAUGAAACAAAAAUAAACGGCCACGAUCGCUCCAUAACUGCUCAGAAGUUGAACCGUUGUGCAUGUUUAAAAACGCGAUCCCACGCGCGCAAAUGUGGGAGACAUCUAGCAAAUCUGACACUCCCAUCACAUUUGCAUUAAAUACAUU
rnacentral:lncRNA from 1 species